rnacentral:rRNA from 1 species
CCUACGGGUGGCAGCAGUGGGGAAUAUUGGGCAAUGGGCGCAAGCCUGACCCAGCAACGCCGCGUGAAGGAAGAAGGCUUUCGGGUUUGAAACUUCUUUUCUGAGGGACGAAGAAAGUGACGGUACCUCAGGAAUAAGCCACGGCUAACUACGUGCCAGCAGCCGCGGUAAUACGGAGGGGGCAUGAGUUAUCCGGAUUUAUGGGGUGUAAAGGGCGUGUAGGCGGGAAAGCAAGUCAGAUGUGAAAACUCAGGGCUCAACCCUGGGCCUGCAUUUGAUACUGUUUGUCUUGAGUGCUGGAGAGGGAAUCGGAAUUCCGUGUGUAGCGGUGAAAUGCGUAGAUAUACGGAGGAACACCAGUGGCGAAGGCGGAUUGCUGGACAGUAACUGACGCUGAGGCGCGAAAGCGUGGGGAGCAAACAGGAUUAGAUACCCGGGUAGUC